CCUACGGGAGGCAGCAGUAGGGAAUCUUCCGCAAUGGACGAAAGUCUGACGGAGCAACGCCGCGUGAGCGAUGAAGGCCUUCGGGUCGUAAAGCUCUGUUGUCAGGGAAGAACAAGUACCGGAGUAACUGCCGGUACCUUGACGGUACCUGACCAGAAAGCCACGGCUAACUACGUGCCAGCAGCCGCGGUAAUACGUAGGUGGCAAGCGUUGUCCGGAAUUAUUGGGCGUAAAGCGCGCGCAGGCGGUUCCUUAAGUCUGAUGUGAAAGCCCCCGGCUCAACCGGGGAGGGUCAUUGGAAACUGGGGAACUUGAGUGCAGAAGAGGAGAGCGGAAUUCCACGUGUAGCGGUGAAAUGCGUAGAGAUGUGGAGGAACACCAGCGGCGAAGGCGGCUCUCUGGUCUGUAACUGACGCUGAGGCGCGAAAGCGUGGGGAGCGAACAGGAUUAGAUACCCUGGUAGUCCACGCCGUAAACGAUGAGUGCUAAGUGUUAGAGGGUUUCCGCCCUUUAGUGCUGCAGCAAACGCAUUAAGCACUCCGCCUGGGGAGUACGGCCGCAAGGCUGAAACUCAAAGGAAUUGACGG
rnacentral:rRNA from 1 species